rnacentral:lncRNA from 1 species
UUUAAUACAUUUAUAUAUAUAUUUAGUUAUAUAUAUAUCAACUUCUUUUUUAAAUUAUAGUUCAAGAAAAUAUUAAUUAUCUCUCUUCUUCUUUUUUGGCUUCAUGAAUAGAAGUUUUGGUUGUUUUUUAACCGCUUCACGAGUGACUAUUUUCAUAGAUUACAUUGAGAAUGUAAAUUUAAAAUCAAAUCCCAAUCACUUUAAGUAUAGUUACUAAGGGUGGGUUUGGAUGGGCGGUGCGUUUACCUACGAUUAGUGUAAAAACAGCGAUGGCAAUGAGAUUAGAUACUGUAGCGACACUGUAGCGUGAGACAAAAAGUAAGUUAAACGCACUGCACCGCAUCCAACCGCCCAUCCAAACCCACCCUAAAAGUAAAAAAAAAAAAAGAAAAAGUGUUUUUUUAUUAAAAAAAUUAUAAACAAAAACUAAAUGCAAAAAAUUGUAAUGCAAAGUCCUAAGAUAAUUAAAAUUAUAUUUAAAAUAAUUAAGCAAGUGAAAAGAGACUAAAUGAAAAGUAGAAAAAAAAUCCAAUAUAUAAUUUUAUUCGCAAAAUUUUAUAUAACAACAUAUUUUAUUUAUAUGCUCAUCAAUGUUAAUGAAAA